rnacentral:rRNA from 1 species
UACGAGGGGGGCAAGCGUUGUUCGGAAUUAUUGGGCGUAAAGGGCGCGUAGGCGGUGCGGUAAGUCACCUGUGAAAACUCUGGGCUCAACUCAGAGCCUGCAGGCGAAACUGCCGUGCUGGAGUGUGGGAGAGGUGCGUGGAAUUCCCGGUGUAGCGGUGAAAUGUGUAGAGAUCGGGAGGAACACCGGUGGCGAAGGCGGGUCUCUGGGCAAUUCCUGACGCUGAGGCGCGAAAGCGUGGGGAGCAAACGGG